GGACGAACGCUGGCGGCGUGCCUAACACAUGCAAGUCGAGCGAGGAGAUCCUCGGGAUGAUCCUAGCGGCGGACGGGUGAGUAACACGUGGGCAACCUGCCUCAUAGAGAGGAAUAGCCUUCCGAAAGGGAGAUUAAUACCUCAUAACAUUGCAGUUUCGCAUGGAACAGCAAUUAAAGGAGCAAUCCACUAUGAGAUGGGCCCGCGGCGCAUUAGCUAGUUGGUGAGGUAACGGCUCACCAAGGCGACGAUGCGUAGCCGACCUGAGAGGGUGAUCGGCCACAUUGGGACUGAGACACGGCCCAGACUCCUACGGGAGGCAGCAGUGGGGAAUAUUGCACAAUGGGGGAAACCCUGAUGCAAGCAACGCCGCGUGAGUGAUGACGGCCUUCGGGUUGUAAAGCUCUGUCUUCAGGGACGAUAAUGACGGUACCUGAGGAGGAAGCCACGGCUAACUACGUGCCAGCCGCUGC
rnacentral:rRNA from 1 species